rnacentral:rRNA from 1 species
GACGAACGCUGGCGGCGUGCUUAACACAUGCAAGUCGAGCGGAGCGGCGAACGGGUGAGUAACGCGUGAGUAACUGCCCCCCUCUCUGGGAUUACAGUUGGAAACGGCUGCUAAUACCGGAUAGUGGUGGAUGACUCGCGUCCUAUCAGCUUGUUGGGGGGGUAGUGGCCUACGAAGGCGACGACUGGUAGCCGGCCUGGGAGGGCGACCGGCCACAUUGGGCUGAGAGACGGCCCAAAGGCCUACGGGGGGCAUCGGUGGGAAAUAUUGCACAAUGGGGCAAACCGUGAUGCAGCAACGCGCGUGCGGGAUGACGGCCGUCGGGUUGUAAACCGCUUUCAGCCAUGACGCGGUAGUGGCAGAAGAAGCACCGGCUAACUACGUGCCAGCAGCCGCGGUAAUAC